CAAUUUUUUUUUCCGUUGUUGGGUUAUUUUUAGUUAUAACCCAGCUGUUGGGUUAAAUAUGUUUCCCGCUUCACUCUGGUUCAAAUUUUAACGGUCCAGUCAGAGACUCAGCGCGGACAUCAGCGGCAGCCUGCAUGAUUAUGAAAGGUAAGUAACUGUUAAUAUAAUCGUAUGAUGUAUAUAACUGUUAUAACAUUAAGUAAUGUGUCUGAUAUGUUAAUUAUUAUUUUUUAUACAUUAAAAAAAGUUUGUAUUCCCUUUAGUCCGUUUGUUUCCUCCAGAGAAUCAGAUCGAUUGUAAAUGAAUGCUAUUCCUGUUUGUUCGCCAGGAUUAAUACAUUAAAAGAUUAGCUGCAUAACUUUUUAGACAAGUAUUACUUACAGUUAAUAAAAAUGUCUGGUGAAAUGUGAAAGUUUGAUGAAAUCAUUAGAAUUAAACUAGAAAAGCCGCACGGACCAUUUAUCGGAUCGGAUCAGUGAAUGAAGCUGCUGCGCGAGCUGAGCUCACACACAUCAGUCAUGCGACAGACAGCUGACUCCGUGAGAAUCGUUUGAAUGAACCUGCAAUUUUCUGUUAUAAAAGUUCAAAACCCAGACGAAAGAAAAGCGCACAGUCGUGAGACAAUCCGCUCUUUCAGCGGAAAUUUAUACCAGUGCCCCAAAUUUACAUAACGUUACUCCUACAACCAACCUUUAAGAAGGGAGCGUAAAACAGAAGUCAUAUUCGUCUUAGCGCACCAGCACUAAUUAACUGUGGUAAAAGUGUUUUUAUGGUUUAUUCAUAUUGAAUAUUGUCAUGCAUCUAUUAGAAUACCCUAUUAUUACAGCAAUUUCUCUUAUGAAGCUAGAUUCAUUGACAUGUUUUUUAAAUGUGUUGUACUAAAUGUGUUUAUACUUGUGUUUUAGACAAUGGACUUUUUCAUGAAGGAAAAAUUGCAACAAUAGAAUUUCUGCCUGUUAACUGAAACAUUUCAAGGCCUUUGUGCAGAAAUUGUCUUUAAAACCCUUCCUGCCAUCUGCACCAUACCACACAAAUGGAAAAAUGGUAUGCACAUCAUACACGGAAAUGAAGCGGUCCUUCAUUGACAUUCAAACUGUUGGCACUAAUUAGUGCUGUACUUGAAUCACGAGACAAGCCAGAAUCCACACGUCGUGGUGCUUGGUGACCAGGAAAACUCCUCCCAAGUUUUUAUUAUUUUUAACGGGGAGGCGAUGGAACAGGAGAUGAUAUUACAAGCAGUCGAUCUUUGUUUCAAA